rnacentral:lncRNA from 1 species
GAAUUCUUCGUGAAAAUCAAACAAGAUGAUAUCAUUGCACUGUCUGUGAACCCUAAAACGCCCUAUAAAUGUCAGCUAUUUUCAUGGCUUAUGGGUGAGGCUGAGGCCCUAGAGGAAAGAAGGGCCUGCUAGAAACCCAUUCACCUAUUCAACCCAUUCCCCAAAUGCUCUCCAGACUGGCAUAUUUGGCAUAUUUUGUCCCCUGUAACACUCUUACUUCUGGCUUAUUUCCUCCCCUCCUUAAACCAGAAAAAUGACAUUUCUACUCAUAUCCCCAUGAGAAUAUGAUAAAGGCUAAUGAGAAAACUGAGCAGAGAGGGGCAUAUGUUUCCCCAAUAAAAGAGUUUUAGUUAUUGUCAUGUGCUUUUUUUUUUAAUGCCCAAAGAUAAAUAAAUAAAUAAAUAAAACCCUCUCACUUAAUUUACAUAACCCUCCAUCAGGCAUACCAAUCCAUCUGGACACUUUCCAAAUGUUUAAACAGGAACUGAAUCAACUUGGAAGAAAACAAGCCUAAACCAGCUUAACUUCAGUCUCGAUGGGGAUCAUUAUUUUGAGCCCUAUCAUGUGGCAAUGACCCCCAAUCUUACUUGUCAGUGGAAAAAAAUAUAAUCAUAGAAUGUCCAAGCAGGAAAGGAUCUUUACAAUCAUGGGGCCCAAAGCUCUGAGUUUUCUGCGAUGAAGAAAUGAGAAAAAAAAAUGCUAAGUGACUUGAAUCAGUUAAAGCAAGCAUUUCUUAAAUUACUGCUAUGUGCCAAGCACUGUGCUAGGUGUUAGAGAUGAAGAAGAAGAAGAAGAAGAAGAAGAAGAAGAAGAAGAAGAAGAAGAAGAAGAAGAAGAAGAAGAAGAAGAAGAAGGAGGAGGAGGAGGAGGAGGAGGAGGAGGAGGAGGAGGAGAGGAGGAGGAGGAGGAGGAGGAGGAGGAGGAGGAGGAGAGGAGGAGAGAGGAGCAGGAAGAGAGAAAAGAAAAGGAAGAAACAGUUUCUGAAACAUUCUGUGGAGAGAAACUUCAGUGUAAAGGGAAGAAGAGGAAGCAGCCUGUGAACCUGCUGGGCC